UCCAGACUCCUACGGGAGGCAGCAGUGGGGAAUAUUGCACAAUGGGGGGAACCCUGAUGCAGCGACGCCGCGUGAGUGAAGAAGUAUUUCGGUAUGUAAAGCUCUAUCAGCAGGGAAGAAAAUGACGGUACCUGACUAAGAAGCCCCGGCUAACUACGUGCCAGCAGCCGCGGUAAUACGUAGGGGGCAAGCGUUAUCCGGAUUUACUGGGUGUAAAGGGAGCGUAGACGGCAUGGCAAGUCUGAAGUGAAAGCCCGGGGCUCAACCGCGGGACUGCUUUGGAAACUGUUAAGCUGGAGUGCAGGAGAGGUAAGUGGAAUUCCUAGUGUAGCGGUGAAAUGCGUAGAUAUUAGGGAGAACACCAGUGGCGAAGGCGGCUUGCUGGACAGUAACUGACGUUGAGGCUCGAAAGCGUGGGGAGCAAACAGGAUUAGAUACCCUCGUAAA
rnacentral:rRNA from 1 species